UACGAAGGGUGCAAGCGUUAAUCGGAAUUACUGGGCGUAAAGCGCGCGUAGGUGGUUCAGUAAGUUGGAUGUGAAAUCCCCGGGCUCAACCUGGGAACUGCAUCCAAAACUGCUGAGCUAGAGUACGGUAGAGGGUGGUGGAAUUUCCUGUGUGGCGGUGAAAUGCGUAGAUAUAGGAAGGAACACCAGUGGCGAAGGCGACCACCUGGACUGAUACUGACACUGAGGUGCGAAAGCGUGGGGAGCAAACAGG
rnacentral:rRNA from 1 species